CAGGACGAACGCUGGCGGCGUGCCUAAUACAUGCAAGUCGAACGGUCUUUCUAUGGAAGCUUGCUUCCACUGAGAAGAUAGUGGCGAACGGGUGAGUAACACGUGGGUAACCUGCCCAUAAGAGGGGGGAUAACAUCCGGAAACGGGUGCUAAUACCGCAUAGUUUUCUUGGUCGCAUGAUCGGGAAAGGAAGGACGGCCUUUGUGCUGUCGCUUAUGGAUGGACCCGCGGCGUAUUAGUUAGUUGGUGAGGUAACGGCUCACCAAGACGAUGAUACGUAGCCGACCUGAGAGGGUGAUCGGCCACAUUGGGACUGAGACACGGCCCAAACUCCUACGGGAGGCAGCAGUAGGGAAUCUUCCGCAAUGGACGAAAGUCUGACGGAGCAACGCCGCGUGAGUGAAAGAAGGUUUUCGGAUCGUAAAACUCUGUUGUCAGAGAAGAACAAGUUGGAGAGUAACUGCUCCAGCCUUGACGGUAUCUGACCAGAAAGCCACGGCUAACUACGUGCCAGCCGCCGC
rnacentral:rRNA from 1 species